UACGUAGGGAGCAAGCGUUGUCCGGAUUUAUUGGGCGUAAAGAGCUCGUAGGCGGUUCCGUAAGUCGGGUGUGAAAAAUCUGGGCUCAACCCAGUGGAGCACUCGAUACUGCGGUGACUCGAGUCCGGUAGGGGAGUGUGGAAUUCCUGGUGUAGCGGUGAAAUGCGCAGAUAUCAGGAGGAACACCGACGGCGAAGGCAGCACUCUGGGCCGGUACUGACGCUGAGGAGCGAAAGCAUGGGGGAGCGAACAGG
rnacentral:rRNA from 1 species